UCAAGAUUUUGGAUGGCUCCUUGGAUACCUAUUUGAAAGGAAGGUUUUCUGCUCCAAGCUUUCUUCUUCUCCAUUGCUUUGACAGAUAAGAUAUCCAGAACCUGGCAAAGUGCUGCAGCCGUAUUCUGCUUUUCCUAUUACACGAGUCUGAAACUUCGCUCAUGACAGAGACAUCAACAUAAAUGAAAGAAUUUUCCAUUAUUAGAUGGCAUCUAACUAUGUGAAUCUAGAUAAUCCAACGAAUAAGUCACCCUGGAGCUACAAGAGCUACAAACAGUAACCAUGGGGAAUCUGUGACCCCAAACCUUCUUGCAGAGAGAGUUUUUGCCAGUGUUUUUGAGCAUCCUUCACUACAAGGAUUCCGGGUGACAAAAAGCUUAAGAAAGAUCUGAUAAAGCAGCUACUUCUUCCUACAAUUGUUCUUCCUUCAUUUGAGAUCCAACAAUCUCCUCUUCCUCCUAAGAUUGAAGGAAAAUUUUGCUCCAUGGAGUAGUUGCCUUGGUGUGUUCUUGAGUGCUGGACUCUUAACUAGUAUGGAAGAGAACUACAGGGAUGAUGAGGCUUUCCGUUCUUGAGCGCUGCAGCCCUAGAUUAUCAAGGCCACCGAGUUAAGCCUCUCCAUGCGACUCCAAAUGGCCGGCGACGCCGCUCGCGGGCGCAUCAUGGACUCGCCAACACGUUGAAGCUCUGCAACCAGAUGAACGAGUCGCCUGCACGGCGCAAAAAUGAGGGUGAGGGGGAUGACCCAGAUGCCCAGUUCCAGUAUCAACAUCGCACCACAGCCUCCUUUCUUCUUCACCUGCAGCCUGCAAACAUGCUCUGUCAUGUAAAUAUUGCUUAUAAGAAUUCUAUGAACCCAACGAGAUUUGAAUUAUUUGCUCCGAUCA